ACUCAAAUGAAUUGACGGGGACCCGCACAAGCAGUGGAGGAUGUGGUUUAAUUCGACGAUAAGCGAAGAACCUUACCGAGGUUUGACAUCCUGCUAAGUCUAUGGAAACUAAGACGUGCCUUCGGGAAAGCAGUGACAGGUGCUGCAUGGCCGUCGUCAGCUCGUGUCGUGAGAUGUUGGGUUAAGUCCCGCAACGAGCGCAACCCUCAUCGUAAGUUAGAAUGUCUUACGAGACUGCCCAGGUCAACUGGGAGGAAGGUGGGGAUGACGUCUGGUCAGCAUGGCCCUUACACCUCGGGCUACACACGUCCUACAAUGGCCGUUACAACGCGUUGCCAAGCCGCAAGGCGGAGCUAAUCGCAUCAAAAGCGGUCUCAGUUCGGAUUGAAGGCUGAAACUCGCCUUCAUGAAGCCGGAAUUGCUAGUAAUCCCAGAUCAGCAUGCUGGGGUGAAUACGUUCUCGGGUCUUGUACACACCGCCCGU
rnacentral:rRNA from 1 species